UGAGAGGCCGACCCCCAGCUUGUAUAACAUCCACAACAUCUAUCACUGGGACAGAAACACCACUCACAUCACCCUGCCUCCAUCAUACCUCAAUGGCAGGUGCUGUCCAGGGAACACGUAUUCUGAUAGGAGAGCCCAUCUUGAGGAAGAUUGAUGUUUCCAACUCAUCCCAAUGCCAGGUUCACUUGUCCACCAGCAGAGGGUAGUAUAGGCUAUAGGUAUAGGAGUCCCUGCGGUCCGCUGACUGGCUGGACAGACGGACAGUAGCCUUGGCAACCCAGUUAAUUCUCUACAGCCCCCCCAGCAACCUGGGUCUACCAUUCACACCUCAGCCCGUGUCCAGUCAGCUAGAG